rnacentral:rRNA from 1 species
CCUACGGGUGGCAGCAGUGGGGAAUAUUGGGCAAUGGAGGCAACUCUGACCCAGCAACGCCGCGUGAAUGAUGAAGGUCUUCGGAUUGUAAAGUUCUGUGAUGGGGGAUGAACACAAUGACGGUACCCCAAUAGCAAGCCACGGCUAACUACGUGCCAGCAGCCGCGGUAAUACGUAGGUGGCAAGCGUUAUCCGGAAGGAAUGGGCGUAAGGGGUGCGUAGGUGGUUUAGUAAGUUGGCGGUGAAAUUCCGGGGCUCAACCGCGACGUUGCCACCAAUACUAUUAGACUAGAGUACAGGGGGGGUAGGGGGAAUUCGUGGUGUAGCGGUGGAAUGCUUAGAUAUAAGGAGGAACAUCGGGGGCGAAGGCAACUUACUAAACUGUAACUGACACUGAGGCACGAAAGUGUGGGGAGCAAACAGGAGUAGAUACCCGAGUAGUC